UACAGAGGUCUCGAGCGUUGUUCGGAUUCAUUGGGCGUAAAGGGCGCGUAGGCGGCGGGGUAAGUCUGGUGUGAAAUCUAGGAGCUCAACUCCUAAACUGCACUGGAUACUGCUCUGCUAGAGGACUGGAGAGGAGACUGGAAUUCACGGUGUAGCAGUGAAAUGCGUAGAUAUCGUGAGGAAGACCAGUGGCGAAGGCGGGUCUCUGGACAGUUCCUGACGCUGAGGCGCGAAGGCCAGGGGAGCAAACGGG
rnacentral:rRNA from 1 species